UCUGCCAUCUGCAAGUCAGAGACCAGGAAAGUCAGUGGUGUAAUUCAGUUCAAGCCCAAAGGCUUGAAAAUCAGGGGAGCCAAUGGUGUAACCUCCAGUCCAACUCCAAAGGCCCAAGAACCAGGAGCACCGGUGUCUGAUGUCUGAGGGCAGGAGAAGACAGAUGUCACAGCUCAAGGAAACAGAGUAAAUUUGGCCUUCUUUCUCUGCCUUUUUGUUCUAUUCAGACUAGUAAUGGAUUGGACGAUGCCCUCCGGCAUCAGCGAGGGCAAUCAUCUUUACUGAGUUUACCAAUUCAAAUGCUAAUCUCUUCUAGAAACACCAUCACUGACAAACCCAGAAAUAAUGUUUUACCAGCUAUCUGAGCAUCAUUUAGCCCGGUCAAGUUGACACAUAAAAUUAACUGUCAUAUGGCCCUAGGGGAUUGUGGGGCAGGAGAAGGGAGACAGAUUUAGGGGUGAGUAUGAAAUGGCCUAGUCUCCCCUCUCUGAGCUUUAGCCAGAAUGGGACCAUCCCUGGCAGAGGGCUUUGCCUCAUUCCACAUUUGGGGCUCCAGAGGGAGCUCCUACACCAACCUAGGGGCAGCCACAGCAAAGAUCUUUGCGGCACAGCCUGAUUGCACAGAAGGUAGGUCUAAGUUUAGUUUUCCUGAGCUGCCUUUGGUUUCCAGGCGGGAAAGAUGGAAAAUUCCUGCGUCUCUGAAAGGGCACACAGAAGGUUGGCCUGCUGUGGAGUCUGCUAUGGCAAAUAACUUAGGUGGGCAUCGCAGGUCAGGACUAGACAUAAGAAAGGCAGGCUCUUAGAGGAAUCUUCAGCAUCAGUUGAGAGCCAAGGCAAGGCUGAGCUAUCUAGAGAGUGCCACCAGGUUCCAACCGAGCUGAGAGAUACCACCAUGAGGUAUCCCACUGCUGACUUCAGCAGCGGGUAAAUGCACAGGGAUGAGACCAGUCACCCUUCAGCACUAGGGAGCACCCAGAACAGCUACUCAGUGGCAGAGAAAAGCACUGAUCCAGAAGUCACCACAAAGAUUUGAGAGCUUUGUCUCACUUCUGCUGUCAUGAGAACAUCUGGCUACUGCCCUUGCUCUACUACUUGACAAGUGGGGGCAUAUGAAGGAAAUCAGAUUAAUUAUACACCAAAAAAGAAAAAACUAUGUGCUUUCUACACAUCUGAGUGUAGUGUGAAUAUUUUUGAAUCCUUAUUUAUACAGCCAUAAGUAAAUAUGAACAUUUUCUAGGCUUUUUCAAAAAAAUCAGGACCGUAUAUAAUGAAAAAAUUAGUGAAAAAGUUCCUUUAGUGGUUUAAUCAUAGUUUAAGUUUAUGAUUUAUAUUGCCUCUACUUCACAAAAGGAGUUGAGAUCAUUUACAAUAAAAUAAUGAUAGCUAAUGUUUAUUGAAUGAUUCCUCUUUCCGCCAGGCACUGUUUUAAAUGUUCUAAAGUAUAUCAUUGAAUCUACAAGGCAAGUGAUUUGGAUUAUAUCCAUUUUAUAGAUGAGAGAAAUGAAGCUCAGAGGGGGAGAGCAACUGGCCCAAGUUUUCCCAGCUAGGAAGUGGAAGAGCUGGGCUACAAGCCUACUUAGUCAGCCUCUAGAGCCUGUGUUUUUAACCACUAUGCUAUUAAAAUAAAAAUUUAAAUACCACAGGAAGAGAGGUAACAAUUAUGUUCAAAGAUGGCUAACAUAGUCUUCAUAACCAAAUGUUAAAUUUAGCUUAUUGUACCUCCAGGCCAAUUAAAAUAGACCUUUGUUUAUCAGGUGACCAGAAUUGAACUAAGAAGAAUUUACAAAAAGUGAUGUUGGACAUUCUGCUCAACACUGUUUACAAGAAUUUUGCAAAAGAGCCCAAGAUAAUAAAAAUAGCUGCUAAAUACCAUAAAAGUAGCUUGAACUUUUUGCAAUGUGUCAGGCAUUGUGUCAAAUACUCCACAUGAAUUAUCUUCCCUAAUGUUCCUAAUAAAUGCUCUGAAGGUGGGACUUUAUCUUUAUUUUACAGAUAAGAAAACUAAGGCUCAGGGAAAGCUUGAGGCCCCAUAUAGUAAACAGCAGUGUUGGGAUUUGAUCCUGUAUGCUUGACUGUCACAUGAUACUGCCUCCUGCGACUACACAACACCACGAUGUUCAUCACAUGGUCACUGCCAGGAUUCAGAUGCUGGUACAGCCACACAGGUUACUUACAGUUCGCAUCCCUUCUGAUUGGUGAAGUUCCCCAGGAAGCAGACCGAAAUGGAGAUCAGCAUGCAGGAAGUAUAUUAAGGGGUGUUCUUGGAAUCUGUAGUUGUGGAAGAGAAGGAAGCAGGAUUGGGCAGAGGGAGAUGAGCUGUGAUGGAGUCACAGCAAAGGCCUCAGCUGACCUCACAAAGAGCUCUGACGCCGGUGUGGCCAUUGAGAGUUGGCCUGAGUAGAGGGAAACAAAGAAUAUUAGCUGAAUGACAUCAUUCAAUGGCCCACAUCAUAGCGAAAAUGAUAUUUCAUGGUGUCAACAGAAUAUGCCUCAGCUUCACAACAAAGCUUUGUAAUAGUAUGAGAGCUUCGUUCUCUUUUCCUCUUGUUUCUGAUCUGUUUUGUUUAUAAGGCAAAUGAAACUGCUAAGAGAAACAUCAAAGACAAGGUAUAUUACAAAUCCAAAAUUGCAGCCAUGGUCUUAUCAUAUAAAAUCGUAUCAUAUAAACUCUUGACUGGAAAUGUCAUUUAUGGUCAAACCAGAUAUCAAGGACUUGAAUACCCUUCCCCUAAAUUGUCUCCAGGGCAGCUGCUCCCUCUUCAGCCUGGGCCUUAAAAUGAGAUAUGUGGAGCACAGCCACCUCAGCUGAUCCAAAGAAGUGUGAAGUAAAGGGACCCCAGCUACCACAGCCUGAAGAAGAGCUGCCUCAUCCGACCUCAGACAUAUUGGGCACUUUUCAAGAGCCAAGAUCAUUCAUCUGUGUCCCCAGCACCCAGAAAAAUGCCUGGCAUAGAGAAGAUAUUCAGCAAAUGUUAAAAGAAUUAAUGAAUCAAUGAGUUAAGCAUGUCAAGACAUUCAAAUCUAAGAGAAGGUGUACAGAGAGGAUAGUGUGGGUAUCAGAGAUGACAGAUGUUGGAACUGGCUCACAGACAAAGAAAGUGGACUUUCUAGGAGGAAGGAGGAAGCUGCUAAGGCAAGAUGUUGCCAGGAAUAAUAACUAGAAUCUAUGAAAGAUGUGAGAGUGGUUACUGCUUAAUCAUGGCAGAAAUCCAGAAAAUCUGAGGUUUGGAGAACUGACAUAGAGUUGUAAAUGUCUCCUUUACCAAUCAAGUAGGAAUGGAAUAAUAUCAUAAUAAAGUGAGAGCAUUAUUCUGGAUCUGUACCAGUCCAUGUGUUGGAAACUUCUGGUAUAAAGAAUGGACAAUUUUAACUAGGCCACAAGAACAAUCUUAGGGCUUUCAUGGACUACAGCAAUAAAAGAAAGAAAUAUAGUCUGUCUGGAGUUAAUCCUCUCUGUAUUUCCUCUAUAAUAUUACCUCUAUAAUAAGGACAGUGACUUUCCUGAAGUCCAGCUGACAGACUCUACCUGUUGUACUUCAAUAAGGAGCUCUUUGUCAAACCUGAGUGUGCCCCAAAAUUAAUCCUCAGGAUGAUGAGAGGAUUUGAAACCAUGUUAUAUAACAAACUAGGACUUUUGAGCUGAGAAAAGACUUAGGUGUAUUUACAUGGUGGAGGGGACAGUGGUUAAAUGGUGUAACUUCUGAACUAUCUGCCUAGUAUACAAGCCAAUGACUUCCCCAGCAACCUUCCUCCAACAACCAAAUUAUGAUCUUGCUUCCUUAGCCCUGGCUGAACAAAGCUAAGGCAAUCAACUCUCUCCCAGAGUUUAGAAUUGAGACUGAGCUACUCCAAGUAGUUUUUGGCUAAGGGAGUGUCAAGAAGAACUUCUAAUAGAAAGAGCUCUUUAAAAUCAAAAAGACUUCUCAGACUGCAAGUAUAUGUUCUUUAUCUGAAUUAAAUCCCUUCUUUUCCCUUUCACUUCCUAAGUAGAGAAACUAAGUAACCAUUUGCCAAGGUUCCUAGCCUGAGGAUUCAUAUAUCAGAAAAUUAUUUAGAUCAGAUAAAACCUAAAGAAGCUACAAACUCCAAGAGGCUGUAAUACAUUGAGAUGAUUUCAGGUGAUUCCAUGGAUGGCUGUUUUUAUUUUAAUAAAAACUUUAUUAUGCUG